rfam:Colinus virginianus strain Texas jcf7180006226694, whole genome shotgun sequence.
CCAAAGGCUCUUUUCAGAGCCACCCACAAUUUCCCAAAAAGAGCAG